CUCCAUUGGAAAAAAGUCAGAAUACGAGUAUUGCGGAUAACAGUACUUUUUCUUUACCAUCGAAUGAAACAGACCAUACAAAUAAUGCGGGGAGCAACACCGUUCCGCAUACCGUUAAGAAGCUUAUGGAUGAGGUACCACAGAUUGACUGGCUGAGGUACUUCAAUGGAUUACUGAAUGACGAAAUCGAUGAAAAUGAAACCUUAGUUUAUCAAAAUCCAGAUUUUGUCAGCAGAUUCGCGGAUUUUAUCAAUAAAACGGAGAAGAGGCUGUAGAGAUGAUUCAUUAUAUACGUAAAGAAUACUUAAAUAUGCUGGAAAAGAAUGAGUGGUUGGACGAAGACACUAAAACGCAAGCUAUAGAAAA